GAGGGCACAGCGGGUGCAAAGGCCCUGAGGCGCUAGUGUUCCUGGAACGGGCGAGGAGGCCUGUGUGGCUGGAGCAGCGGGGGUGGGGGGCACAGGAGAGCGGGGCUCACCGGAUGAGGUCUGCAUGGGGCAGAUGUGGGGUUUGGUAAGGACCUGGCUUGUACACUGCCUGUGAUGAGAGGGAAAGGUCUGACUUUAGGUUUCAAGGGAACCUCUGGCUGCUGAGCUGGGAAGAGACCGUCGGGGCAGUUAGGAGAUUUGUCAGCUGUACGUACCUCAGUGAAGCUGGAAAAACCCCACGCCAACUGGAGAUUGUUGAUUUUCGGUGGGAAGGCUGGCGUGGAAGCCCGGCUGGGGGUCUGGACCCUGCUGACCUCCGAAGGCAGAGCCUGGGGCCUGUCAACCUACCUGUUUUGGCACACAGCGCCUGCCCACCCGUCCGGAUAUGCUGGGCUCCCCGGGUAGAACCCCUCGCUCGGGGCCCAGACCCAGCCAAGUGUGUGUGCCAGGCAGGGCGGAGGCACG